UACGGUGGGGGCAAGCGUUGUUCGGAAUUACUGGGCGUAAAGGGCUCGUAGGUGGUCAACUAAGUCAUACGUGAAAUCCCUCGGCUUAACCGGGGAACUGCGUCUGAUACUGGAUGGCUAGAGGUUGGGAGAGGGAUGCGGAAUUCCAGGUGUAGCGGUGAAAUGCGUAGAUAUCUGGAGGAACACCGGUGGCGAAGGCGGCAUCCUGGACCAAUUCUGACGCUGAGGAGCGAAAGCCAGGGGAGCAAACGGG
rnacentral:rRNA from 1 species